rnacentral:rRNA from 1 species
GACGAACGUUGGCGGCGUGCUUAACACAUGCAAGUCGAACGGAAAGGCCCUGCUUUUGUGGGGUGCUCGAGUGGCGAACGGGUGAGUAACACGUGAGUAACCUGCCCUUGACUUUGGGAUAACUUCAGGAAACUGGGGCUAAUACCGGAUAGGAGCUCCUGCUGCAUGGUGGGGGUUGGAAAGUUUCGGCGGUUGGGGAUGGACUCGCGGCUUAUCAGCUUGUUGGUGGGGUAGUGGCUUACCAAGGCUUUGACGGGUAGCCGGCCUGAGAGGGUGACCGGCCACAUUGGGACUGAGAUACGGCCCAGACUCCUACGGGAGGCAGCAGUGGGGAAUAUUGCACAAUGGGCGGAAGCCUGAUGCAGCAACGCCGCGUGCGGGAUGACGGCCUUCGGGUUGUAAACCGCUUUCGCCUGUGACGAAGCGUGAGUGACGGUAAUGGGUAAAGAAGCACCGGCUAACUACGUGCCAGCAGCCGCGGUGAUACGUAGGGUGCGAGCGUUGUCCGGAUUUAUUGGGCGUAAAGGGCUCGUAGGUGGUUGAUCGCGUCGGAAGUGUAAUCUUGGGGCUUAACCCUGAGCGUGCUUUCGAUACGGGUUGACUUGAGGAAGGUAGGGGAGAAUGGAAUUCCUGGUGGAGCGGUGGAAUGCGCAGAUAUCAGGAGGAACACCAGUGGCGAAGGCGGUUCUCUGGGCCUUUCCUGACGCUGAGGAGCGAAAGCGUGGGGAGCGAACAGGCUUAGAUACCCUGGUAGUCCACGCUGUAAACGGUGGGUACUAGGUGUGGGGUCCAUUCCACGGGUUCCGUGCCGUAGCUAACGCUUUAAGUACCCCGCCUGGGGAGUACGGCCGCAAGGCUAAAACUCAAAGGAAUAGACGGGGCCCCGCACAAGCGGUGGAGCAUGCGGAUUAAUUCGAUGCAACGCGUAGAACCUUACCUGGGUUUGACAUGGAUCGGGAGUGCUCAGAGAUGGGUGUGCCUCUUUUGGGGUCGGUUCACAGGUGGUGCAUGGCUGUCGUCAGCUCGUGUCGUGAGAUGUUGGGUUAAGUCCCGCAACGAGCGCAACCCUUGUUCACUGUUGCCAGCACGUUAUGGUGGGGACUCAGUGGAGACCGCCGGGGUCAACUCGGAGGAAGGUGGGGAUGACGUCAAGUCAUCAUGCCCCUUAUGUCCAGGGCUUCACGCAUGCUACAAUGGCUGGUACUGAGAGUGGCGAGCCUGUGAGGGUGAGCGAAUCUCGGAAAGCCGGUCUCAGUUCGGAUUGGGGUCUGCAACUCGACCUCAUGAAGUCGGAGCCGCUAGUAAUCGCAGAUCAGCAACGCUGCGGUGAAUACGUUCCCGGGGCU